rnacentral:rRNA from 1 species
UACGUAGGGUGCAAGCGUUAAUCGGAAUUACUGGGCGUAAAGCGUGCGCAGGCGGUUAUGCAAGACAGAGGUGAAAUCCCCGGGCUCAACCUGGGAACUGCCUUUGUGACUGCAUAGCUAGAGUACGGUAGGGGGGGAUGGAAUUCCGCGUGUAGCAGUGAAAUGCGUAGAUAUGCGGAGGAACACCGAUGGCGAAGGCAAUCCCCUGGACCUGUACUGACGCUCAUGCACGAAAGCGUGGGGAGCAAACAGG